AACUUCCUCCAGUUCGUUUUCCAGUCUCUCCCGAUUUUCUAUGCUGAGUACUUCUGUGUGAAGCUUUCUCUCGAUUACCUCGACCCUGUAUAAGUGAAAAGAGGCGGCCAGCCUUAUACCUUGCUGAUGAUGGUGUCGCUCCGUGUCAUUGUGCACAGUCGGAUAUACACUUGUAUCUACUUUUCACUCGGUGCGGCUCGGCAAUGAAUUCCUCGACACUUGUAAAAUGAUAUUCCUAUUGAUAAGUGUGGCACAUGUACUACAUAUGGGAGAAUAAACUAAAGAGAGCCAGCUGAUGAUUCAUACUUGUACGUACAGCGUUGGGAGUGCCAUCACGCUUGAAGCUGCUCCAGCUCGCGAAUGAAUCGCAUCUAGAUACAUGUUCUUGCACCAUGACCGUUGAUUCAAAAAGGAAAUCGGUCAUUUCAGAAAUUAAGGCGGCCGAAUUUUGAUUAACUUAAUCGCUGAUUAAUUUUCAUCUAAUGUAUCAUUUUUAUUAACGCUGACAGAAUUAUUGUUUAUUAUUUGAUAUAGAAGGAGAUUAGAUUAGAGAUAACGAUUUAAUAAACUUUAUCAAACAA